rnacentral:ncRNA from 1 species
CAUUAGGUUGACUCUGCCUAACGUAGAUGCUAGUCUUUAAGAUUAAGCCAUGCAUGCUAAGUGAACCUGUACGGGGGAACGGCGAACGGCUCAGUAA